rnacentral:lncRNA from 1 species
GCAGAGGGUUGUUAGAGUUAGGGUACUAUAGUUAGGCUGUGGUUGGACUUGAUGAUCUUUGAGUUCCUUUUCAACCUGAGUAAUUCUAUGAUUCUGUGAUAGAGUGAGUGGAUUCAUGCAAGCCAAUCCUGUAGCAAAGGCAAGCCAAGCCUAUACCAUUAAGGCUCUAACUAGGUUGAUGGCAUCAUAUGAGACUCCAGAGGUCAUCGAGUGCAACCAGGGUGCACAUUAAAUGGGUGCAACUGUGCAGAAGUGGGCCAACGACAACAACAGUAGUACCAAAAUGGUGUGGUUUCCUUGCACGCUAGGGGAGAUUGUUAGAGGUUGGGGGAUCAGUAAAUCCUCCAGAGGUUGGUACAUGGCCAGCAGAGGUAGUGGUUGACACCCUGAUUAUCAUUGCAAAGGAGAUGUUAAUCAUGUCCAUGGGCAAAUUACCCUCCUUUGGUACCUGAUACAGUGAUCCAGCCACAGAUAUCAGGCCAAAGGGUCUGGUUUCAAAGGCCAGGACAUGCCCUGAUACAGGCAGAGGUGUUGACUCAAGGCUGAAAUACGGCCUGUAUCAUACUGUGGAGUGCAGACCUACCCCUCCUUGUACCUCUUCAACAUGUGAAUUACUCCCAUUGAGGUUAUAAGUUCACAGGACAGCCAGCAGGAGCAACAUUACUUCAGCAUGCUCCACUGUCCAUGAGCAAACAUCAUGACACCCCAUGGUGGACUGCUGAACUUUUGGGAACUGGCAAGCCUGAACCUGGACUGCUACUGGUCCUUGAAGAAGGUAUGCCUCGAGAAGGAACAUCAAGUACUGGCCGAACAGAACCAUGAAAAAGACGCCAAUACUUGCUUUCAGUGCCUUAACAUUCUGCAUCGUGGCAGGAAUAGAUGCUUAACACUAGCAGUGUCACCAGCUAUGAGGGCAGAAGCUAGCUCUCAAUGUUAACUGCUGAUAAGGUUUUGCAAACGGCCUCCAUCCCUUCACAACCAGGUGGCUGGGCAGUCCAGCCUGUAG